AGCCCCCCGCCUCUCUGCAUCUGAGGGGAGAAAUAUGAAAGGAGAAAUGGCAUGAAGUCUGGGUCAAGAACAAAGAGUAGAAUAGGGAAGCGAUGCUGCUGCUACUGAUGGAAAGACAGAGCUACAUGGUCAGGACACUGGCUGCUAUGCCUGCGUACUCUCAGUUCCUACACGGAAUUCACUGACAACGCCUUUCAGUUCGACUGCCAAGUUGUCACUCCAACCUCUCCUCCUCUCCCUGUCUCCAUGGCCACCACCGGUCCAGACCACCAUCAUCUCCCACGUGGAUCACCGUAACAGCCUUCUCUCUCUCAGGUCUCCCCGCUUUUACACUUGCCCCACAUCAACCCAUUCUCUACACAGAAGCUAGAGCAAUCUUCUUUAGACUUAAAUAAGAUGGUGUCACUCUGCUUUGUGAAACCCCUGCACUUAAAAUAAAAUCCAAACUCAUUAUUGUGGCCCAGGAA